rnacentral:lncRNA from 1 species
AUGAUGAAUAGGAGGCCCAACCUGAAUGGGUCUGGAGGACCAAGGUCCAUCGGUGUUCCGUUGCUCUGUCAUUCUAACAGAGUGUUGCUGGAGAGAGAAGAGGUCAGCCAGGCCCCAGUGAUGGCCUCCUCUUUCAGGCCCUCAGCAUUCCCCUCCCUGCAUGUUGUACCUCGUGCUCCCCCUCCUGACGAAAUCAGGCCCAAGAGGCCCACAGCUGCCCACAGAAAGAGGAGAGACCUCCAGUCCCUGGUUCCUGUCCAGGAUGGAUGUCGUGAGUCUCCCGGUUGGUUUAACAGCAGCAGCUCCCAGCUACCUGCCAAAACCAACAGACGCAGGCGCAACAAGGAGCUUUCCUUCACUGAGGUUCUGAAGAACUACAAGCUUCUGCCUGAUUCCCGGCCCAACAGCCCAGAGAGCCUGUACCAGAAUGAGAUGACACCUAGAAUCCCUGUCAGCAUCACUAGACCUGAGGGGAGGCCUAGCAACCCUCGGCGCCCCACUAGAAGGCCUGUUAGCCCCGUAGGCCUGGUCCAACCUGAUGUACAGCCUUCCAGACCUGAGGGGAGGCCUAGCAACCCUCGGCGAACCACUAGACGGCCUGUUAGACCAGUGGGCCUGGUCCAGCCUGAUGUACAGCCUUCCAGACCUGAGGGGAGGCCUAGCAACCCUCUGGGCCCCACUAGACGGCCUGUUAGACCCGUGGGCCUGGUCCAGCAUGAUGUUCAGCCUUCCAGACCUGAGGGAAGGCCUAGCAACCCUCGGAACACCACUAGGAGAAAAGUUAAGCCCAGUAAUCCUGUGUGUUCCGUUAUGCUUGAGUCCCAACCUACCAGUCCUGUGAGCAUCACCACCAGCACUGUGGACAUAGUCCAGCCUGAGCUCCGUCCUACCUGCCCUCUGACCCUGGAGGAGCCGGCCCUUUCAGAGUCAUGCAGCUUCAGCAACAAUGUGUUUGUUCUCUCCAUGCCGAAAGCUGCCCAGCCAGAGGAGGCUGCCAGAGGGAGGAGCAGCCCACCCAGGGACAUCAUCAGGCCUGAGGCCUUCGUCCAGACAGGACCCCUGCUGGCCAGGAGAGCCCAGAGGGAUGCUCCUCCUCCAAAGAAGGUCCCCAAACCCCCGGUGGCCCCCCGGCCCAAACUGCUGCCCUCCCUGGGCCAGGGCAACGUGUCCCUUGUCAGUGCCAACGCCUGGGAUGAUAAGACCAAGAAGAAGAGAAAGAAAGGUCAGCACUUCUCUUUGUGCAAUGACACAUUUUCUCUAUUGAAUAUAUUGUCAAUAUUGUAUAUGUUGUUUGCUGAUGUACAACCAGGAAUAUGA